GACGAACGCUGGCGGCGUGCUUAACACAUGCAAGUCGAACGGAAAGGCCCUGCUUUUGUGGGGUGCUCGAGUGGCGAACGGGUGAGUAACACGUGAGUAACCUGCCCUUGACUUUGGGAUAACUUCAGGAAACUGGGGCUAAUACCGGAUAGGAGCUCCUGCUGCAUGGUGGGGGUUGGAAAGUUUCGGCGGUUGGGGAUGGACUCGCGGCUUAUCAGCUUGUUGGUGGGGUAGUGGCUUACCAAGGCUUUGACGGGUAGCCGGCCUGAGAGGGUGACCGGCCCCAUUGGGACUGAGAUACGGCACAGCCCCCAACGGGAGGCAGCAGUGGGGAAUAUUGCACAAUGGGCGGAAGCCUGAUGCAGCAACGCCGCGUGCGGGAUGACGGCCUUCGGGUUGUAUUCCGCUUUCGCCUGUGACGAAGCGUGAGUGACGGUAAUGGGUAAAGAAGCACCGGCUAACUACGUG
rnacentral:rRNA from 1 species